rnacentral:tRNA from 1 species
GCGGGGUAGCUCAGAUGGUCAGAGCGCACGACUCAUAAUCGUGAGGUCGCGGGUUCAAUCCCCGCCCCCG